rnacentral:rRNA from 1 species
GACGAAGGGGGCUAGCGUUGCUCGGAAUUACUGGGCGUAAGCGCGUGUAGGCGGCUGUUCAAGUUGGGCGUGAAAGCCUUGGGCUUAACCCAAGAAAUGCGCUCAAUACUGGAUAGCUAGAGGACCGGAGAGGAUAGUGGAAUUCCCAGUGUAGUGGUGAAAUACGUAGAGAUUGGGAAGAACACCAGUGGCGAAGGCGGCUAUCUGGACGGUUUCUGACGCUAAGACGCGAAAGCGUGGGGAGCAAACAGG